UGGGGAAUCUUCCGCAAUGGACGAAAGUCUGACGGAGCAACGCCGCGUGAGUGAAGAAGGUUUUCGGAUCGUAAAACUCUGUCUUUUGGGGCGAACGUGAGUAUGGUGAACAAUCAUAGUCAGUGACGGUACCAAAGGAGGAAGCCACGGCUAACUACGUGCCAGCAGCCGCGGUAAUACGUAGGUGGCAAGCGUUGUCCGGAAUUAUUGGGCGUAAAGAGCGCGUAGGCGGGAUAGUCAGUCUGUUGUAAAGUGCGGGGCUCAACCCCGUGAUCGCAAUGGAAACACUAUUCUUGAGUGCAGGAGAGGAAAGUGGAAUUCCCAGUGUAGCGGUGAAAUGCGUAGAUAUUGGGAGGAACACCAGUGGCGAAGGCGACUUUCUGGACUGUGUCUGACGCUGAGGCGCGAAAGCCAGGGGGAGCGAACGGGGAUUAGAUACCCCCGGUAGUCCUGGGCCCGUAAAACAUGGGUACUAGGUGUGGGAGGUAUCGACCCCCUUCCGUGCCGGAGUUAACGCAAUAAGUACCCCGCCUGGGGAGUACGGUCGCAAGACCUGAAACUCAAAUGAAUUGACGGGGGUCAUAGCUGUUUCCU
rnacentral:rRNA from 1 species